rnacentral:rRNA from 1 species
CCCUUAGAUGUUCUGGGCCGCACGCGUGCUACACUGAGCGGAUCAGCGGGUCAGGUUGCGCGAAAGUGUUUCCUAAUCUUUAAAUCCGCUCGUGAUGGGGAUUGACGGUUGCAAUUUUCCGUCAUGAACGAGGAAUACCUUGUAAGCGCGGGUCAUCAUCCCGCGCUGAAUACGUCCCUGCCCUUUGUACACACCGCCCGUCGCUCCUACCGAUUGAGUGGUCCGGUGAGGCUUUGGGAUCUGAGCGGAAAGAGCGUUUCGCUGUUUCUGCCCGGAAAACUCAGUCGAACCUUAUCAUUUAGAGGAAGGAGAAGUCGUAACA